rnacentral:lncRNA from 1 species
CUUCGAGCCAGUCUAAUCUCUCUAGAAUGAUAAACUUCUAUAUUUAAAUCACAAUUUAAAUUUUUUUAUGUCUUUCACGGUCAUUUUAUCACCCCAGCAAUGACUAGAAGGCCCAAUAUUUUAUAUAUCUCUGUUAAAUAUUCUAAGCAUUAUUAAGAGCUUUCUGGGUAUAGCCAAGCCCUCUUAACCGUCAGAGGCAGACUACUUUUCAACCAGGUCAGUUUCACUUUUGCGAUCUGGAAGUAUAUGGCGCCACCUGCUGGCCAAAGCACACCUCGCCAACAAAGUGCAGGUUAGUUCAGGAUUGCCCAUUCUAGUAGGAUCCCCCCUCGACCCCUACCCUCCCCUGUCUUCACUUCCACCCAGGGGGAAAUCUGAAGCACAGGAUGGGUCAGCAAUCGACUCUUUCUGAAGCUGGGUAAGACACAUUAUUCCUCUUGAACAGGCCCCCCUGCAGAAACUUAGGGACCCUAAGUUUCUCCACUUAUGAAAUAACAGGGUAGGGUCAGGCUUUGCCUAGGUCCCUCUCACCGCUAAGCUUCUAGGAUUCUGUGAGUUCACCUCGGAGGCAGGCACAGGGAGGAAGGUGAGCUACUGUGUCUCAGGUUAAAAUCAAGCCUGGAAAUGGAAAGCAAGGCCAGGAAUGUAGGCUGGGAAACGAUGAGGCCCAGGACAGAGGAAACGAGGGCACAGCAUGGGACCCCCGCUCAUCAGCCAGACCCACCCUGCCUUGGCCUUGCCCAUCAUCGGCAGAAUAAUCAUCAUCACUCAAACUACCGCUUAUUGGGAGCCUAUAUCAGACACAGUGCUAGGUUCUUUACAUAGUGUUUUGUUAAAUAUUAUUUCAUACUAUAUCUGUACACUAUCCCUUUAAGGUAGGUAUUAUUGUUGUUCACAACUGGAAAAAAGACUCAGAAAGGCUAAGAAUUUGUUCAAGCUAAACACAGCCAAUAAGUGGGAAAUCUGGGAUUUGACCCAAAUCUGUCUGUCUUCAAAGCCCCUGAACCUUGCACCUUAUUUCUUGCCUUCAUCCCUCCUCCUUCCUUGCCUACUUUUUUCUUUUAUGCUUCAUCAGGCUGUGUUUUUCCGAGGCUAUCACAGGUUCAGGUUGCAUCUGGCCAUUGAUGUGGGGAACUGAGAUAACCAUAGGGAUAAUUGUGGUCUCUACUUGCCAUUUUUAGUUCAACUAAAAACAACUUUGCUGGUGGCCUCAACAGCCCACUCAUUAGUGAUUGCUUACUUUCACUUUGUUGGUGUAGAUGAAGGUGCCUCCGUGUCUUCCCUUCCAGUGAGGGCUUCCCAGCUUCCUCAGAUGCUAAGUGCAACUGUAGAUACACGUGGCCUCUGUGUUCCCAAAAGAAGCAGUGCAAGGGUGCAGGGCUUUAUCCAUUCCCAGACUCACCUGCCUUUCUGAUCCUGGCUACCACCUUCCAGGUGCAUUUUCCUUCAGGAACAGUGACUGCCAGGCACAAAGUUUGUGGGUGGCUCCAGGAAAGGGGAGAGGCACAGGAAAGAACGCUGGGCUAACUAGCAGGCAGGCACCCUGGCUUCUGACCCCUGCUUCCCCACUUCACAGCUACAUGACCUGGGCAAGUCAUAGGGUCUCUGAGACUCAGUUUCCCAUCCUGAAAAAUGGAAAUGACGACACUUUCUCUGCCUCCCUCAAAAGUUAGUUUCUGCCUCUAAUUCUCUAAUCUGUCCCUCAUGCCAACACAAGAGAUAUAGUCCCAAAAUACUUGUUUAAUCAUCCCAUGCCCCCUCAAAGACUCUGGUGGUUUGACUGAUCAAGCCAGGACUCAAACUCAAGUCGGCUUGGCACCAAACUUCUGCCUCUUUGGACCAUUCCUUCCACGUGGCCAUGCUGUGGCCAUGUAAAACUGCACGGCACUUCCCAGAGCCCCCAGACACAUUCACGCUCCUGUGGCUCCGUCCGUCUGGAACAUGUGCCCACCUGGUCACACCUCUCUACCCUUCGCCUUUCCCUCUGUCAAGUCGUAACCACACUUCGAACCUAGAUCAACUGCCUUCUCCUCCUAGAAGCCUUCCCCUGCCUCCUUCAAGCACUUUUUUCAUACUUAGUUUGUAGCCUUUAUUCAUUUCAUUAAUUAACUUCAUUUCCA